rnacentral:rRNA from 1 species
UACAGAGGGUGCGAGCGUUAAUCGGAAUUACUGGGCGUAAAGCGCACGUAGGUGGCGACGUAAGUCGGGUGUGAAAGCCCCGGGCUCAACCUGGGAAUUGCAUUCGAGACUGCAUUGCUGGAGUACGGAAGAGGAGGGCGGAAUUCCCGGUGUAGAGGUGAAAUUCGUAGAUAUUCGGAAGAACACCAGUGGCGAAGGCGACUCACUGGACAUGUAUUGACGCUGAGGUGCGAAAGCGUGGGGAGCAAACAGG